GUUGUUCUGACAUCGUGAAAUCAGGCGAAAAGGGCGAAAUAAAUUAUAGCUAAUUUAUACUUAUAUUCCUGUGAUUUCAAUUACCAAAUUGAACUUCGUAUCAUAUAUGCAAACUGUCAGUUAUUCCAACAAGUUGACUUAGCGCGCUCAGUCGAUUUCCAUCCAUUAGGCCCAUCAUGCUGUCAAAAGCCUAAUAAAACUCAUGUUUGAAGUACACAUAAAUCGACAUUUAUUGGAAUACAAAUGUGCCGAGAUAAGGAUCUUUUCUGAAUCUCGCCUUUUUUGGUGGCGUACCCUGCAACAGCAUGUUUAUUGUUAUGGCUGAUUUUACUUCUGAUUAGAAGGCAACUCUACAAACUCAAAGCGAAGGCGGCAAACUAAGAGAUAGAGUUUCAGAGACAUGAAGAGUGAAGUGACCUGCCAUGUAUGUACCAGAUCUCCUUUAUGAAAGUCAAAUGCCUUAUUAAAUUCAUCACCCAUAUGAUAAAGCAUCAGGAAAUUUAUCUCAACAUGUGAAGUAAUGCUGUCGGUUGCUGUGAAUUCCAUUUUUACGGUUUUUUCAUCAUAAACAUUUCAGUGUGCUUCUUAGAAAAGAGCACGCAGUUUCUUUAUGGAAUCGUGUGGUCCUGGCACGGAGAUUCUUGAGCCAACGCUGACCUUUGUCCAUGACGGAAGAGGGACUUCCACCAACGUUCUUCUCCAUCCUUAUCUUCGCGACCCUCAUCUAGCUUCAAUAACAAAACUAAACACAAUUUGUUUUACUUCAC